GACGAACGCUGGCGGCGUGCUUAACACAUGCAAGUCGAACGGAAAGACCCUGCUUUUGUGGGGUGCUCGAGUGGUGAACGGGUGAGUAACACGUGAGUAACCUGCCCUUGACUUUGGGAUAACUUCAGGAAACUGGGGCUAAUACCGGAUAGGAGCUCCUGCUGCAUGGUGGGGGUUGGAAAGUUUCGGCGGUUGGGGAUGGACUCGCGGCUUAUCAGCUUGUUGGUGGGGUAGUGGCUUACCAAGGCUUUGACGGGUAGCCGGCCUGAGAGGGUGACCGGCCACAUUGGGACUGAGAUACGGCCCAGACUCCUACGGGAGGCAGCAGUGGGGAAUAUUGCACAAUGGGCGGAAGCCUGAUGCAGCAACGCCGCGUGCGGGAUGACGGCCUUCGGGUUGUAAACCGCUUUCGCCUGUGACGAAGCGUGAGUGACGGUAAUGGGUAAAGAAGCACCGGCUAACUACGUG
rnacentral:rRNA from 1 species